rnacentral:rRNA from 1 species
ACCUGCGGAGGAUCAUUACCGAAUCGUGCAAGGAGCGUAAGACGGUCGGAGGAAAAACCUCGGGGGGGUGUCUAGUAGUUUUUCGGAAUGGUGGCCCUGGGCUUUCCGGCAUGGGGCCCUUCCCCGAAUCCGAAGGGGUGUGUAUACACCCAACCCCCCCUCGGCCUCGGUCUCCUUCCGAACCUCUGAAGCUCCUGUACCUCUCUAACACCAUUGUGCACCUUGUUGUAGGUCUCGUCGAGGGACCUAUGUAUUCCUUUUUUAUAAAGCUCUCUGCAUGUAUACAGAACGUUGUCUUUUGACAAACAUGUCAUAUAAACAUAUAUAUAACUUUCAGCAAUGGAUCUCUUGGCUCUCGCAUCGAUGAAGAACGCAGCGAAUCGCGAUAAGUAAUGUGAAUUGCAGAUUUUCCGUGAAUCAUCGAAUCUUUGAACGCACCUUGCGCUCCUUGGUAUUCCGAGGAGCAUGCCUGUUUGAGUGUCAUCGAAAUCUCAAAUCCUAAGCUUUGCUUCGGUCGCCGACUCGGAGCGAGCUCGGACUUGGACUUUGGGAGUCUGCGGGCGACCCGACUUUGCUCGGGACGCCGGCUCUCCUCAAAUGCAUUAGCGGUGGGCUUCGAGCCUUUGCACGGCACGGCCU